UCCAUUUCACACUCGCGAUAGCUACUCCAUGUUCUACUGUGAUCUCCCUCUCCUCUCUUCAUUGUUCAAAACACGUAAAACACAUUAUUGUUGUUUGUGAGUUCGUCGUCUCUCUAUCAUCUGAUGUUGUCUUCGUCCAUCGUCACUCUCCUUUUUGUCGUUCAAUCGGCCACCGAAACGUAACCGGCCUAUUCGUCAUUCAACCGGCCACUGAAAUGUAAUCGGCCUGUUUGUCGUUGUCAUCAAAGCCUAACGGCCACGUUGUUCGUCAUUCAACCGAAACCCACGCCAAAACAAUACUUUUUGACGAUACCAGAUUUUUGUUCAUCGUUCAACUGAAACCCAUUUUUGCGUUUUUCGAAUCAAGGAUGUGGGUCGUUUAAAAUUCUGCCAAUAUACCAUCGUCUUCAAAUAUUUAUUCUUCUUCUUCAGCAACCAACAACACAAUCGUGGGUUAUACCUCGUGGAACUCCCCUUUUGAUCCAUCUACAGUCCUUUAGGUUGAAAUGGAGAGAGGUUUACAAGAUACCGUGGGACUAAAAGUAAAAGGAAAGAGAAGGUCUACACGAAGGAAGCUUAUUGACGAUAGUCUACUUAUUCCAAAUGAGCAAAACAAGGAAAGUUUAUCACCCAAGCCUAGUGAGAAGAUAGUUGAAGGUAAUCCUAUAUUACACUCACCAACUGCUCGAACAAGAUUAACAAUUCAUAGGCAAGCAACAACUUCUAUCGUGAAUGAGAAGCCAUUGCCUAAUAAGAAGCCAGUUCAAGAUCAUGUUGUAAAUGAAGAACCUCCAUUGGAAAAGACAAUUUUUCCUAGUGAGAAGGCGCUUGAAGAUCAUGUUGUCAAUGAAGAACCCCCAUUUGAAACGAUGCCUUUGCCAAAAAAGACAAGAGGACCUACAAAAAUGAAGAGAAUAGCCAUUGAAAAACAAUCAAGAGUGGACACUUUUUUCAAUGAAUAUGGACAACUCAUUGGUGAUGAAUUGGUAGGAUUGGCCUCUUUUCUUGGACCACUAGUGAGGGAGGUUGUACCAGUGAAUCUUGAGAAUUGGCUAAAACUACCAACAAGAUUGAAAGUCGUGUUAUGAAAAUCUAUCCAGUCAAGGUACAAUGUGGAAGAUUGGCAAAAAAAGUUUUUCUUACAAAAGAUAGGUAGAUUAUAAAGGGCUGGAAAAUUUCGUUUAGUAAAAUAAAUUCGAGAUGCCUCAACAAAGGAUGCAAUUUUGAAGUUGAUGCCUGAUAAUUUGCAAUCUGUAGAUGAUUGGAUGGAUUUUGUGAGUGACAAGACUAGUGCAAACUUCAAGUUGAAAAGUGAAAAGUACAAAGCCAUGAAGAAAAAACAACUCCCACAUACAUAUAGUAGAAAAGGGUAUGCUCGUUUGGCUGAAGAGAUGAGAAAAAUUAGUUCAGAUCCAUCUUCGGUCACAAGGGUUGCAUUAUGGACUAAAGCACACAAAAGGAAGGAUGGAAAACCGGUGAAUUCACAAGUUGCCGAGACACUUGUAUGUCUUCUUUGCAAUUUAUGUUCUUGUUCUUAGACUUUAUUAUCGUUGUAACCUUGUUGAAUCUUGCUAUCUUUGAUUAUAUAUGUUGUUGGGUCUUUCUGUGUGCAGGAAUCUUUAGUUUUAUGAGAUUUAUUUCUGUGUGCAUGAUGCUUUGUUCUUCCUCUGAUUAGUUAUUAAAUACAGUA